UACGAAGGGGGCUAGCGUUGCUCGGAAUCACUGGGCGUAAAGCGCACGUAGGCGGCUUUUUAAGUCAGGGGUGAAAUCCUGGAGCUCAACUCCAGAACUGCCUUUGAUACUGAGAAGCUCGAGUCUGGGAGAGGUGAGUGGAACUGCGAGUGUAGAGGUGAAAUUCGUAGAUAUUCGCAAGAACACCAGUGGCGAAGGCGGCUCACUGGCCCGGUACUGACGCUGAGGUGCGAAAGCGUGGGGAGCAAACAGG
rnacentral:rRNA from 1 species